UCAAUUUCUGGAGCGCUCAUUUAAAAGAUGCUUUUAACGUCCAUUUUUAACAACUACAUUAUAAUAUUUCUAUUUUGCAUUUUCCCUGGGAUUUUUUUUUUUUUUUUCUUGUUACGGUUUGGUCUCUAUGGAUUGGACUAUGUUAUUUCCCUUAAGCUAGCUCAGGGAAUCCUUUUGGACACUGAGCCCAUUUGUGGUUGUAAUAAUGAUAAGUUUCAGCAGUAGUGGCGCCUGACUGUUAAUGACUCAAAGAAAAAUAUAUAAAAACAAGACGUCAUUUCUGGAGCCAUUUAUAAACUUCCCUGUUUACUAUAAUUUCUUUCUGGGCUUGCCAGAGCCAGGAUUAGGUGAUAUAACCAAUCAGCUGCAGCACUCACCUGUUCUCUCAAGCUUGUGACCUGAAAAGGGAGAAAUGCUGCCAGCCUGGCCAUGGGUAUUGCUUUCCCAUAUUCAUCCUUGAACCCAAGACUAUUGUGUUUUAAUAAAAAGCUCUUUUAAAUUGAGAAGGCUUUUCUGGAUCAGUGGGAAACAUCUGCAAGUUUAAUAGCUGCUCCAGGAAGAACAGCCCUCUAACAGGAGGUUAAUGUUCCUUUGGACCCAGCUGGAAGAAUGACAAUGAAAAGCAGUAGUUUUCUCUGUCAGCAGCUCCUCAGUGGAUAAUCAGGGGUACAGGUCUUGCUUUAGGACAAACAUAGGGAGUAGACUCAGGGUUACCAUCCACCCUGGCAAACGGUGAUGCUUGCAUCUUUUAACUAAAUGUGCUGAGUUCGUCUACCAGCAUUUGGGAAUCCAAAUCAGUCUUUCAAGAAGAUCAGUUGGACUACACUGAUAUAUUUUGUGAACACCGUCUCUCAGAGUUAAAGUGACCUUGAUUUGAUUUAGCUUAAUUCACUUCAAAGUCUGGUUUUGGAAGGCCUUCAGAAGUCAUACCUUUAGGAAGCAGUUGGAAACUGUUGCUUUAAAGGUUACAACUACAACAUACAAAGAACUAGGUUGUGGGGAGUCUUCAGUCCUUCUUCAGUCCUGUUCCAGGUUCAACUUCUAUUCAUGAAACUUGAGGUGUGGAGCAGCAUCUUCAAAGCAAGGACCAUUUGUGUGCUUUAGAAGUACUUUGACAGGAGAGGAAUAAUUGCAGCUUCCUCUGGAUUCAUCUGCGUGAAGGCUUUAAAUAAGACCAUUGCUAACUCCGGCCCUUUGGUGUCAAUUUGACGAAAUUCCCAUCUUCCCCUGUGGUCCAGGGUUUGGGCUAUCUGAAUCAGCUUGCAUCCGAAUUAAUACUUAGAAAUCAUCCGAGAUUAAUUACAUAACAGAACUUUCUUGCGUUGCCAACCCCGCGUAUUAAGAUGUCAAGUCAUGCCACAGAGGAUCGUAAAACUUGUUUUAACAAUGACAUCCAGUGAAAGCCUGUCUGCUUUUAAACUCAAGGCAGAAACCAGAAGGCACGGAAGACGAUUGUCCAAGUGUUAAUUUCUACUCCUACAGGCUUCU